rnacentral:lncRNA from 1 species
CUUACCUUUACCUGUUAAUGGGAAACAGGGCCAAUGAUACAGAAAAAACUACACUUCCCAUGAUACCCCAGAAAAGGAAGGAAGUGAGACUAGACACUUCCCGUCAUUGCUUAUAGACCGGAAGUCAGGAACUUAGUUCUCUUUCCCAUCUUGCAAGGUAAGAAUGGCGGGCCUCUGUACGAUACUCGCUUCCAGGACCCCAAUCCUUCGUCAUCCGAAGUUAGAGGACUUUAAGUCGACACCUACAGGGGUUGGACAUCCCCAGGGUUAUCUGAGAGGCCUCCUGGACGCCUCAUUUCUUUCGUCUGGGUUGACGACGGGGAGCAAAGAGGAUGGCGGGCGAAAAAACUGAGAAGCCAGAUGCUAAAGAGAAGAAACCCGAAGCCAAGAAGGCUGUUGCCGCUGGCACUGCUAAAAAAGCAAAUGUGAAAAAGGCUAAAAAAUCCAAGAAGGGACAG